ensembl:rRNA 5S_rRNA 5S ribosomal RNA
GUCUAUGGCCAUACCACCCUGAACACACCCGAUCUCGUCUGAUCUCAGAAGCUAAGCAGGGUUGGGCCUGGUUAGUACCUGGUUAGGAUGGGAGAACUCCACAAACACUGGGAAGUUUCACAAAUGUUGUAGGGA